rnacentral:rRNA from 1 species
GAUGAACGCUGGCGGCGUGCCUAAUACAUGCAAGUCGAGCGAACAGAUAAGGAGCUUGCUCCUUUGACGUUAGCGGCGGACGGGUGAGUAACACGUGGGUAACCUACCUAUAAGACUGGAAUAACUCCGGGAAACCGGGGCUAAUGCCGGAUAACAUUUAGAACCGCAUGGUUCUAAAGUGAAAGAUGGUUUUGCUAUCACUUAUAGAUGGACCCGCGCCGUAUUAGCUAGUUGGUAAGGUAACGGCUUACCAAGGCAACGAUACGUAGCCGACCUGAGAGGGUGAUCGGCCACACUGGAACUGAGACACGGUCCAGACUCCUACGGGAGGCAGCAGUAGGGAAUCUUCCGCAAUGGGCGAAAGCCUGACGGAGCAACGCCGCGUGAGUGAUGAAGGUCUUCGGAUCGUAAAACUCUGUAAUUAGGGAAGAACAAAUGUGUAAGUAACUGUGCACGUCUUGACGGUACCUAAUCAGAAAGCCACGGCUAACUACGUG